rnacentral:rRNA from 1 species
AUUGAACGCUGGCGGCAUGCCUUACACAUGCAAGUCGAACGGUAACGGGCCUUCGGGUGCCGACGAGUGGCGAACGGGUGAGUAAUGCAUCGGAACGUACCUUUCAGUGGGGGAUAACGUAGCGAAAGUUACGCUAAUACCGCAUAUUCUGUGCGCAGGAAAGCAGGGGAUCGCAAGACCUUGCGCUGAUUGAGCGGCCGAUGUCAGAUUAGCUAGUUGGUGAGGUAAAGGCUCACCAAGGCGACGAUCUGUAGCGGGGCUGAGAGGACGAUCCGCCACACUGGAACUGAGACACGGUCCAGACUCCUACGGGAGUCAGCAGUGGGGAAUUUUGGACAAUGGGGGCAACCCUGAUCCAGCCAUGCCGCGUGAGUGAAGAAGGCCUUCGGGUUGUAAAGCUCUUUCGGCCGGGAAGAAAUCGCACGGGCUAAUACCCUGUGUGGAUGACGGUACCGGAAUAAGAAGCACCGGCUAACUACGUGCCAGCCGCCGCGGUAAUAC